rnacentral:lncRNA from 1 species
GUAUAGGUGGACAGAUGAACAGAAUCAGCAUCGGCGGACUGAUGAACAGAAUCAGUAUCGCCGGCGGACGAACGAAGAGAAUCAGCAUCGGCGGACCUAUGAAGAGAAUCAGCAUCGGCGGACCUAUGAAGAGAAUCAGCAUCGGCGGACCUAUGAAGAGAAUCAGCAUAGGAGGAUGAAUGAAGAGAACCAGUGUUGGCGGGUGAAUGAAGAGAAGCAGUGUCGGCAGACGAAUGAAGAGAAUCAGUAUCGCAGGACGAAUGAAGAGAAUCAGUAUCAGCGAACACACACAAAUCAUAACUUAGUUCCUGUGGAUCAG